rnacentral:rRNA from 1 species
AUCGAACGCUGGCGGCAGGCCUAACACAUGCAAGUCGAACGAGUGGCGGACGGGUGAGUAAUGUCUGGGAACCUGCCUGAUCGACGGGUAUAACUCCUGGAAACGGUAGCUAAUACCGCAUACCAUCACAUGUUCCCAGAUGGGAUUAGCUUGUUGGUGGGGUAACGGCUCACCAAGGCGACUAUCCCUAGCUGGUCUGAGAGGAUGACAAGCCAGACGGGAACUAGGACACGGUCCAGGCUCCUACGGGAGGCAGAAGUGGGGAGUAUUGCGCAAUGGGCGCAAGCCGGAUGCAGCGAUGCCGCGUGGAUGAAGAAGGCCUUGGGGGUGUAAAGUACUUUCAGAGGGGAGGCGUUAUCCGCAGAAGACGCACCGGCUAACUCCGUGCAAGCAGCCGCGGUAAUUC